UUGUAUGUUAGUAUAUCCUGAAGAUAACUAAUGAAGUGCAGUAGGCAAGAGUAACAAGUUCAAAGUGAAGAUUAAUCCUGUUCUUUUGAAAAUUAAGCAACUUACAUUCUAGCUAUGCCAUAAGCUUGUAGCGUCACUAGGAACAACCAAAGGAGAAUAAUCUAAUUGGAUUGCCAACAGCAAGGCCAGCUCUUCUCAAACUCAUACAAGAAAACAUUUUACUAACAUUCCAAACGGCAAAUCUGUGUAAUCAAAAGCAAAGUUAGCUCAUUUACAAUCUGCUUCACGCUCCAAGCAGAUUAGCAACAAAAAGUAUUGUACGGUUGUGCAAAUGAACAGAAUUUGCAAUUACAUUUCAAUAUGUCACCAAAAGAAGCAUCACCGUCAGACGUAUAAGCAAGUAGUCAAACCAAUAUUUCACUUGUCGAGUAGGUGCUGGUAAGCGCGCCAAACCUCAAAUAUCCGCCGCGAAAACAACCAGGGACGACUGGCCUUCUCGCAAGAGACGGCGGCAGCUGCUGUUCCGGCGUCCAUGGGAAUUGGGAGGUCUUUUACUGUUGGAUGCUUGCUUCAGGACUUCAAAGUUCAAAGUGCACUUCGGCUU
rnacentral:lncRNA from 1 species